rnacentral:rRNA from 1 species
UACGUAGGGUGCGAGCGUUGUCCGGAAUUAUUGGGCGUAAAGAGCUUGUAGGCGGUUUGUCGCGUCUGCUGUGAAAAUCCGGGGCUCAACCCCGGACUUGCAGUGGGUACGGGCAGACUGGAGUGUGGUAGGGGAGACUGGAAUUCCUGGUGUAGCGGUGGAAUGCGCAGAUAUCAGGAGGAACACCGGUGGCGAAGGCGGGUCUCUGGGCCGAUACUGACGCUGAGGAGCGAAAGCGUGGGGAGCGAACAGG